UCAAAACCCUAAAAACCAAAUGAGCUACACUAUAAUAUAUAUUAAAAAUUAUGCUAGAACUAGUAAUAAGAAAAUACAAUUUUCUCUAUUGCAUAAACAUAAAUCAGAACGGAACAACCACUGAUAAUUACCAAUAAUGAAUAUAAACCUUUUAACAAGAUUUACAAACUCAAAUAACAAUGUUAACCCUACACAGGAAUGCAUCUUAGAAAGAUAAAACCAUAAAGAAGGAACUCGGCAAAAUAAAUUAAGCUUCGCCUGUUUACCAAAAACAUCACCUUUAGCUAAAAUUACAAAUAUUAAAGCACUGCCUGCCCAGUGAUAUUAUUUUUACGGCCGCGGUAUUCUAACCGUGCAAAGGUAGCAUAAUCACUUGUCUUUUAAAUAAAGACUAGUAUGAACGGCAAGACGAAAGCUUAACUGUCUCCUUUAUUUUAUCAAUGAAACUGAAUUUCCUGUACAAAAGCAGGAAUAAAUUAAUAAGACGAGAAGACCCUAUGGAACUUAAAACACGCAGUCACUUUAAGUUAUAUUAAAACCUGAACAUACUGUUUUUGGUUGGGGUGACCACGGAGAAUAAAAAUCCUCCGAGAUAACAAUUUUAGUAAUACAAAACAAAAAUUCAAAAUUUUGACACCAGACCCAAAAUAUUUGAUCAACGAACCAAGCUACCCUAGGGAUAACAGCGCAAUCUUCUCCAAGAGCACCUAUCGCCAAGAAGGUUUACGACCUCGAUGUUGGAUCAGGAUAUCCAGACAGU
rnacentral:rRNA from 1 species